rnacentral:rRNA from 1 species
UAUAUUUUAUUUAUUAAUUGAUUUUUUUUUUUAUUAUAAAUUAUUAAAAAUAAUUAUUAUAUGAUUUGUUUGAGUAUUUUAUAAAGAAAAAAUAAUUUUAAUUAUAGUUAAAUAGUAUUGUGAAAGAAAAUUGAAAUAAUUUGAAAAAUUAAUAUAUUAAAAGAAAAUUUAAUUUAUUGUACCUUGUGUAUCAGGGUUUAUUAAUUAAAAAUUAUUUAGUAUAAUUUUCUCGAUUUUAAAAGAGUUAAUAUAUUAUAAAAGUUAAUGUGACAAAAUUAUUUUAUAUAAUAUAUUAGAAAUGAAAUGUUAUUCGUUUUUAAAGGUAUCUAGUUCUUUAAGAAAUAAAUUUAAUUUAGAAAUAUUAUAUCAUUUAGUUAAAUAAAUUAACUAAAUAAUUAUUUUAUUUUAAUAUUUUAUGGGAUAAGCUAUGAAAUAAAUUAUUAAAAAUUAUUAAAUAAUUUAAUAAAUAUAAGCUUAGAAAUAGCUAUUAUUAAUGAAAUUGUUAUAAUUUAUUUUAUAAUAUUUAUUAUUUAUUAAAUUUUAAUUAUGUAUUAAAGUAUUUAUUUUAAUUUUAAAAAUAAAAAAAUAAUGAUAAAAUUAGUAUAUUAUAUUGUAUAAAUAUUAUUAAUUGAAAAGUUUUUAUAAAGAACUCGGCAAAAAUAAUGUUCGCCUGUUUAACAAAAACAUGUCUUUUUGAAUUUUUUUUAAAGUCUAGCCUGCCCACUGAAUAAUUUAAAUGGCCGCAGUAUACUAACUGUGCAAAGGUAGCAUAAUCAUUAGUCUUUUAAUUGAAGGCUGGUAUGAAUGGUUGGACGAGAUAUUAACUGUUUCAUAAAAAUUUAUAAUAGAAUUUUAUUUUUUAGUCAAAAAGCUAAAAUAUAAUUAAAAGACGAGAAGACCCUAUAAAUCUUUAUAUAUAGAUUAUUAGAAUUUUGUAGAUUUUUUUUAUUAUAAUAGUUAAUUAUAUUUUAUUGGGGUGAUAUUAAAAUUUAAUAAACUUUUAAUUUUAUAAGUCAUUAAUUUAUGAAUAAUUGAUCCGUUAAUAGCGAUUAAAAAAAUAAGUUACUUUAGGGAUAACAGCGUAAUUUUUUUGGAGAGUUCAUAUCGAUAAAAAAGAUUGCGACCUCGAUGUUGGAUUAAGAUAUAAUUUUAGGUGUAGCCGCUUAAAUUUUAAGUCUGUUCGACUUUUAAAUUCUUACAUGAUCUGAGUUCAAACCGGCGUAAGCCAGGUUGGUUUCUAUCUUUAAAAAAUUAAAAUAUUUCAGUACGAAAGGACCUAAUAUUUAAUAAAUAAUUAUUUUUAUAUUGAAUAUAAUUAAUUUAU